AUUUGGCAAGUGAUGAAUGCUAAUACAACUAAUGGGUAAUUUGCGUCUGAAAUAUUUGAUUGAUGCUAACACCUUGUAUAUCUGAUGCCUUAU